rnacentral:lncRNA from 1 species
UAAAGAGCACUCAGCAGGUAAAGGGGUCUGCUGCCAAACCUGGCAAACAAUUUAAAUCCCAGGGUCCAUAUGGUGGAAGAAGAGAACAGACCUCCUGCAGGUUGUCCUCAAACCACAUGUAUGCCAUAAUAGUAAAUAAAUAGAUGCAUUAUUUUUGUUACAUUGCUAGAUAGAUUGGUAAUAGCCCACCACCUGUUACUUGCAGUGAGUGGGAGAGCAACGGGACACAUCUCUCUGCCCAUCAUCAACAGAGAGCCAGCCUAUAGCGUGAGAGGAGCCCUCUCCUGAAAUUCACUGUUGCUUCUUGUGAAUUUUAUUUGUAGAAAACAAAAACCAAGCUGGGGGUGGUAGGGCCCAAGGCCUUGAGAGGCAUAGUUAAGAAGAGCUUCAAAAGAUUGAAGCCAACCAAGUCUAACUAGUGAAUUCCAGGCCAGUCAAUGCUACCUUGAGAGAAAGACCCUGCUUCAACAAACAAACAAACAAACAAACAAAAGUAAAACAAAACCCCAACCCCCAAGGCUUACUGCUUUUAUCCAAUUAAAAAAGAAAAAAUAAUUUUUUCUUACUGGAAAAUUGAAGUUACCGGAAUAUGCCUGUAGAGAAAAUUGUCUUUGAGGUUAUUGCUGGCGUGUGUAGACUUGAAAGGAAGUACAUGCUAGGAACUACUAGAUCGUAAAGUCGAAGGCUAUACUAAUAGGACAGAGUGGGCUGUGACCGUCACGAGUUUAGGGAUUUUUUUUUAAAGAAGAUUGUUUUUAGAAAGAUUAUUAUUAUUAUUUAUUUAUUUAUUUUAUUUAUAUUAAUACACUGUUGCUGUUUUCAGACUCAUCAGAAGAGGGCAUCAAAUCUCAUUACAGGUGGUCGUGAGCCACCAUGUGGCUGCUGGGAUUUGAACUCAGGACCUUCGGAAGAGCAGUCAGUGCUCUUAACCGCUGAGCCGUCUCUCCAGCCCUAGGGUUUCUUUCUUGAUUAAAAAUGUAAACAGAUCAUGGUGCAUAUACUUAAACUGUUGAAUUGUAUUCUUAAGUAGGUAGUCUUCACUGUCAGGAGACACCCUUAACUACUCCUCUGGGUGUGUUAAACCAAAUAGGGAAGACGUGCUCCGACUGUGGGCGCGGGGCUCCCAAACCAAAGGUGAGCAGAACUGCCUGAUGCAGGUUGAUCUCUCUGCUUCCGGCUCCUGGCGCAGCGAACCAGCUACUUCCGGCCGUGAUGGACCGUUCUUAGAAAUAAUCUUUCUAAGAACAAUCUUCUUCUCAGACUGACAAACCCGCCAUUCCUUACGUUGCUUUUUCUGGGUCCGUUUCUCCUUCUGGUCUUUUCAUCUCCUAAAGCAGUCGCAGUGAAAGACAGAUCAGGCAAACACUCGUUCUCCCCUGUGCAGAAAUGCAGUGGUCCCAGAUGUGUGCAGUGGAAGUUGUUUACACAGACCGAGUCUGCAAGCCCAGAGAUGAAGGCCCGCUCAGGAAAACUCUGAUUAGAGAAAAAUAGGCCACCUCACUCACUUGAUGGAAAAUCCAGGAUUUCCUGAUGUGGGUCCCUCGAUUGUUUAAGGGCCGUCAACCAAAUAGUUGUCCGAAGUAAAAUAGAAGUUUGACAAAUGCAGCAACUGUGUGAAAGAAAUCAGUCUCGAAGGGAUAAGCUCACAUCCAAGCAACUGGAGAAGCCAGGCUCAUAGAGUCAGAAAAUCAGGGUCGGGGGACGGGGAGUUAGAGUCUAAUGGGGCAGAGUUGUGAUGGGGGAGACAGUUAUGAGGACGGAUGGUAGUGGCGGUUAUAUGGUGCCGAGCAACUUAGUACAAAACUCAACACCUCAUGACUCAAAUUGGGCUGGGCUUUGAUCUUAGCACUUAGGAGGCAGAGACAGGUGAUUUUUUUUAUUAUUUAUUUGUUUGUUUGUUUGUUUUGUUUUGUUUUCGAGACAGGGUUUCUCUGUGUAGCCCUGUCUGUCCUGGAACUCACUCUGUAGACCAUGCUGGCCUCGAACUCAGAAAUUCGCCAAGGCAGGUGAUCUUUAAAAAAAAUCUUUAAAACCUAGUAGGGUAAGUUUUUUUUUUCUGGCCCGAGAUUUCCAUUUUCUAAUUCAGCAGACACAAAAUCUACCAUCAUGUGGUCUUCCACUAGACUCAUGGUCCUCUGUAACUUGUGAGGCCUGGCUACAUUGUCCUCUACCACAGGCCGGGCUGUUUCCACUGCCCGCCUUUUCUACAGCGGUGUGCUGUGCCCCUGAAUGGUGGGACAAAUCAGUGCCUUCCCUCUCAUCUGUUGUUUAGAAAAAAGUCAACCAAUACAGAAGCAGAGACCUGUCUGUCCCUGAAUCUAAAAAUAGCCAUGGAUUUUAUCACUGAAAGCCCCAUCAUAUGUCAGAUGUCAGGAGCCCAUCUCCCUUCAGUCAGGAGCUCCGGGAGAAGACCAGAGGCAAAGCGCGCUGAGCUUUUCUGAGAAUACAGAGGAACGCUCAAGCAACCAUGUUUUGCAUCUAAAUAUUUGGUUGUCUAAAGAGAAUAAAGCAGGGAGGCAGCUAAGCAGAUAAAAGCGUGACUUCAACCCUUGGAACCC